UCAUCUUUUCAUUUUCAAUCCCAAUUAUCACGAGUAAAAAAAAUAAACUGUUGCGAGAGUAUGAAAAUAUCAGCAUUUUACUGUUCCAACUGAUACAUUUUUAUGGGAACGUAUCCACGUUGAUCAGCCUUUGAAUAAAAGGAUCACUGAUGAUGUUUUUUAUGGGAAGAUCUCUUGUGAAAUGACAUAAAACACAACGCUCUGAAACUCAUGCCAUUUGUGACAAUGUAUCCAGUUGUAUCCGUGAUGGAUCACAGCUGCUGCUUCCACCAAUUUAGUUUUGGUUAUUGAGCUUUGCAGCACUUACCCAAAAGGACUAAGGUCUGUUUUUUUCCUUCUUGACUAAAGGUGUAUGUUGGAAAAUUAUGUCACUAUUGUAAUAUUUCUGCUCUCUGUCACUCCGUCUUCUUUCCCUUUC